ensembl:lncRNA
CCAUAUUGCUGGCACCAACGCUAAGCUUUAACUUUAGAGUACCUGAAUCACUAACUUGAAGCAGGGUGGGGGAGCCCGAUCCCACAGAACACCCUACACAUCCACCGGGAAGCAAAAGUGCGGACCCAAGCUCCGUGGGCGGAAGUACUAGUAGACCGGAAACGCCCUGGGGGCGGGGCGGAGGAGCGCGCACGCCUCGCAGAAAUCCCUCCUUCCAGGCCCCGCCCCACCCGAGUCGCCGUUUCCGGCCCACCCGGAAGCAGAUUUCCCGGAUGGAAGGGCGUCUUCGCUGGAGUGAGUUUCAGCGUUUCCAGUUACAGCUCGCACGUUGAUGCCCCCAGCGUUGCGUCCUUCCCACCUGGAGUCCGGGGCGUCGCGAACCUUACAGCCCCCACCUCCGCCAGCCGCGCCCGCGGGGAGCCCCACCCGGUCGCGAGACGCUGUGCUGCUGUUCUGGAUCCGCGUCUGUUUCCGAUCUGAAGUAAAGCUCUGUCCUCUCCACUGGGUGACUCAUAGGAAAAUAAGAGGAUAUAGUGCCCAGAAACCAGCUGUCACCUCUCCAGACAUUUAAACAACUCUCCAGUUCCUCAGACCCCUCAGCUCACCCAAGAAGGCAAAAGACUCAGUAUCUUCAUCACAGUACAUGCAUACAGCGGGCAGAGAGCAUAGCUCGGUAAUCCCCUUGGCAUUGCCUAGCUCUGUGAUGCUGAAGACAUUCUCAUUUCUGUGCAUUACAGAAGAGAUUCAGAUUUCCAGAGUUUGUAAGCUUUGGAAGAUGCUAGCUGAGCAUUCUGCACUAUGGAGACAUGUACCUGACACCUUACGGGGUAUGUAUGUAUGGACUCUAUUUGGGAAAAUGCUUGAGGGUAUCUGCUUUAUAUGGAUGGCAGUUCUUAUACAGAACCCAUCCUGGCCUCCUCACGGGGUGUUCAUAUGGUGGCUCAGUGGAGCUUUGAUAUUGUUCAGGAGCCCUGAAUGUUACUCAUUUCACUCUCUAAAUCAAGUUGAAGGCAGUUGGUUUUAGUCCUUUUGAUUAUCAGAACGUUUGGCUGGUGCAGGUAAGGCGUCUCUUCGGGCAGUACCCGGGAUCGGGGUUCCUGUCAUCGGGUGUGGGGUGCUACUGAGCUGAGGCAUAAAUGGUUCUGCAAUCAUUCCAGCUUUAAUUAAGGAAGUUGGGUAGAGGUGCCCCCACCUGACUAAACUGUAGUUGCAUGUUGCAUACUUGAGGAAACUCCUAGUCACCAAACUUCCCCAGUUCCUGACAAAUGUGGGACUACACAGCUCUAAAAUUUCGAAGUCAUGGAUCUUCGGGGAAAGCAGCUACUCUUCACCACUCUUCCAGCACAACCUUGGCUUGGACGCUGUUCCUGCCGUCAGUGACAGGCAGGUGGUGACCUUGUCCAGGCUGAAGGCUCUGCAUUUCCUGGAAGUGGUGGACAUUUCCUUAAGUGUCAGAGAAGGGGCUCAUGAUGGCCCUCUCUGAAGUUGAUGGAUUCCAGAAGCUAGAACUGGUGAACUGCUUCUCAGCUGAUGAAUUCCUACAGGCAGUAGUCCAGCAGCUUUGGGAGCUUUAGAGACUCCGUAUGAGAGUGAAUCGUCUCACAACCCAAGUAUCAUCUCAGCUAGAAAGGAUGGAUUCACUGCAGUCGUUGGAGCCAGAUACUCCUCCCACCGCUGAAGACUUCCCCUCUACCCCUCACAUCUUCUCUGUUUGCCUAAGAUGCCCAGACCCCAAACCCUCAAGUUCCUGGAAGUCCGUACCCCAUGUCAGGAGAGGGGAUGCCAAGGCUCUUCUGCAGAAGGUUCUGCUCCACUCUCUGGUCCCCUUUAGUUCAGCCCAAACUCAUCCACUGAAGGGUGAAAGUGAAGCCACAAAAUGACUCCGUCCCACUUCUCACCACCCUUACACACCCUGCAUCCUUCUCUUAUCCUCUUUCUUCCCAAAUGGUUUAUUGCUCUGGGGUUCCUAUUUUUCAGAGGCAUUUGAAACCAUGAGAAGACAUAAUUCAUCAUAAACACUGGUCAGGGAACAGGCUUUUGAGCCAGAUAAAUGUGAGCCAGUAGUUCAGCCAAUGAAUGUCUGGGUUUUGUCAGGUCACACAAAUGCUAUCCAAGUUGGUUUCCUGAGAGGAAAAGCGAAGAUGAUAAUGGCAAACUUGUAGGGUCUUCUGAAUAAAUGGCAAGACUAUAAGUAAAUACCUGUCA